UGCCCGGAUAGCUCAGUCGGUAGAGCAGGGGAUUGAAAAUCCCCGUGUCCUUGGUUCAAUUCCGAGUCCGGGCACCAA
rnacentral:tRNA from 14 species